UACGGGGGGGGCAAGCGUUGUUCGGAAUUACUGGGCGUAAAGGGCGCGUAGGCGGCCUUCUAAGUCGGACGUGAAAUCCCUCGGCUUAACCGAGGAACUGCGUCCGAUACUGAAAGGCUUGAAUCCGGGAGAGGGAUGUGGAAUUCCAGGUGUAGCGGUGAAAUGCGUAGAUAUCUGGAGGAACACCGGUGGCGAAGGCGGCAUCCUGGACCGACACUGACGCUGAGGCGCGAAAGCUAGGGGAGCAAACGGG
rnacentral:rRNA from 1 species